rnacentral:rRNA from 1 species
CAAUAGCGUAUAUUAAAGUUGUUGCAGUUAAAAAGCUCGUAGUUGGAUUUCUGGUGGGAGCGAUCGGUCUGGCGCUUAGCGCGAGUACUUGCAUCGUCUCCGGCCAUCCUUGGGGAGAGUCUGUCUGGCAUUAGGUUGUCGGGCAGAGGAUCCUCAUCGUUUACUGUGAAAAAAUUAGAGUGUUCAAAGCAGGCUUAUGCCGUUGAAUAUAUUAGCAUGGAAUAAUAAGAUAGGACUUUGGUACUAUUUUGUUGGUUUGCGCACCAAAGUAAUGAUUAAUAGGGACAGUUGGGGGUAUUCGUAUCCCGUUGUCAGAGGUGAAAUUCUUGGAUUUACGGAAGACGAACUACUGCGAAAGCAUUUACCAAGGAUGUUUNCAUUAA